rnacentral:rRNA from 1 species
CAGCCGCCGCGGUAAUACGUAGGUCCCGAGCGUUGUCCGGAUUUAUUGGGCGUAAAGCGAGCGCAGGCGGUUUGAUAAGUCUGAAGUUAAAGGCUGUGACUCAACCAUAGUUCGCUUUGGAAACUGUCAAACUUGAGUGCAGAAGGGGAGAGUGGAAUUCCAUGUGUAGCGGUGAAAUGCGUAGAUAUAUGGAGGAACACCGGUGGCGAAAGCGGCUCUCUGGUCUGUAACUGACGCUGAGGCGCGAAAGCGUGGGGAGCAAACAGGAUUAGAUACCCCGGUAGUCCCUGUCUCUUAUACA